rnacentral:rRNA from 1 species
UACGGAGGGUGCAAACGUUGCUCGGAAUCAUUGGGCGUAAAGCGCACGUAGGCGGUCUGUUAAGUCAGACGUGAAAUCCCUCAGCUUAACUGGGGAACUGCGUCUGAUACUGGAUGGCUUGAGAUUGGGAGAGGGACGCGGAAUUCCAGGUGUAGCGGUGAAAUGCGUAGAUAUCUGGAGGAACACCGGUGGCGAAGGCGGCGUCCUGGACCAACACUGACACUGAAAAGCGAAAGCCAGGGGAGCAAACGGG